AUGGGACAAGGCCCUGGGCACUGGACCCCAGCCUGUGCGGAGCAGGGCAAGGUUGUGGAAGGGUAUGGGAAGACCUGGAGCAAGGGGUCUCCAAGGGCCUUGGAGGCCUUGAAGCACUUCUGUCCUCCUCCUGACUGCUGUGGGAACAGCAAGAAUAGUCUCUGGAGCCCUGUGGACAGAAGAACACUGCUUCAAAAGUGGCACAGCUCUGUCGCCAGAGGUACAGGCAGCCUAAGGAAGCCAGAGCUCCCUGGCUCUGGGACUGAGUCUACCACAGCUCAAGGAACCAGGACCUCUGAGCAGGUGCAUGUGGGUUUCUGUGUGAGGGUGUGUGUGUGCGUGUGUUUGCAUGGCACACGUACAUGCACAUAUGUCUGUGCAUGCAUAUGCAUGCAUAUGUAUAUGAAUGUGGGCACAUGCAUAUAUGUGUGUAUGUAUGUAUGUGUGUAUGUGCACACAUGUGUGUGCACAGGAGAUUGUGCAUGUGUGUGUGCCAGCAAGUGUGUGCACGCAUGCAGGUAUGUACAAGUGUACAUGCAUGUGUGGGCGCAUAGACAUGUGUAUGCCCAUGCUCAUACAGUCUUGUUCCUUUGCCCUAUGAGCCUGCUCCCCUCGCCCUUCUACAGGCGAAGGCUCUACAUAGGAGUGCACAUAGCCCCAGGAGCCUUCCUGCAGGUGUGCGCGCUCCUGCUCUCUCUUCCUUGGAAAUGCAGGUAUUUAUGUGUGAAAAUAUGGGCACAUAUUCAGUCCCUGCUCAGUGACCUUCAAAACCAUCCAGCAAAUUCAGCUUGGACACCGAGCCCAGCCAGAUGGCCCUUCUCAAGCAUGUUGGCCGUGCAAACUGGGGUUUUACUCUUGAUUCCUGCUCCUGCUCCAAGGCAGGCUCGUGAAACAGCGUAUUCAGUAUGUGCUCUGGGAAGGCAGCCACGCAGCCUGGCUCCAAGGAGGAGGAUGUGGGGAAAGUGCCAAGCCGGGGUGGGGAGGGAGGCGGGGGAAGGGACGAUGCAGCACGCUCCAGCAGCCACGGGCGAGCGGCUGAGAGGCUUUGGGAUUUUUAAUUGA
rnacentral:lncRNA from 1 species